rnacentral:lncRNA from 1 species
CUGGGGUACAUGUGCAGAAUGUGCAGGUUUGUUACAUAGGUAAAGGUGUGCCAUGGUGGUUUGCUGCACCUAUCAACCCAUCACCUAGGUAUUAAGUCCAGCGUGUAUUAGCUCUUUUCCCUAAUGCUCUCCCCUCUAACCCCCGCCCUGCCCUGACAGGCCCUGGUGUGUGUUGGACCAUCAAUUUAAAAAGACCAGUUGGUUCAGAGAAAAGAAUACUUACACUGUAAGGACAUUCAGAUACAAUGGAAGGAGAACUGCACAAUUCACAUGAGUGUGAGAAAAUGCAGGGGUUUAAAGUUUAAAACAGCACAGGAAAUGAGACUUGCUUGGAGAAAUUAAAUAUAGCGUCUUGAAGAAUAGAGGACAUUCUGAGUGAAGGUCAAGGCAGCAUAAUAUAAUGGAUGUGAGCAUGAACUCUGGAGCCAGACUGCCUGGAUUUGAAUC